GUGUUCACUUCGUCAGCACAUAUACUAAAAUUGGAAUGAUACAGAGAAGAUUAGCGUGGGCCCUGUGCAAGGAUGACAUGCAAAUUUGUGAAGUGUUCCAUUAUGUA
rnacentral:snRNA from 1 species